AUGUAUAUAUUAGCAUACAUGUAUAUUUGAGAACUUUUAUUUUUGCUUUUUUUUUAUGGAAUGAAAUUUGCAUUAAUUGUUGAUUAAUGGACCUAUGUACAGCACCUAAUUUACAAUUCAUUCAAACGUCUCAUUUAUAUUCACAUACACUACAAAAAUAUGUGUAUUUAAACAUGAUAAUGGCAUGAUGUGAAAUCCGUUAUAUGAAGAUUGUGUUACAUAAUUUAUAUUACCGGUAAAUACCCUUUAUUUUUUCUCGUUAUUCAAGUUUGUUCUGUUGUUGUUAUUUGAAUUUUUUGUUAACUCUGUUUAUAUUGUAUAUACAAUUCUAUAAUUCAACUUGUUUUUGCUUGUUUGUUGUUUUUUAAUUAUAUAAUAAAACUAAACAAUG
rnacentral:misc_RNA from 1 species